AUUGAACGCUGGCGGCAUGCUUUACACAUGCAAGUCGAACGGUAACAGGCCGCAAGGUGCUGACGAGUGGCGAACGGGUGAGUAAUGCAUCGGAACGUGCCCAGUCGUGGGGGAUAACUACUCGAAAGAGUAGCUAAUACCGCAUACGAUCUAUGGAUGAAAGCGGGGGACCGUAAGGCCUCGCGCGAUUGGAGCGGCCGAUGUCGGAUUAGGUAGUUGGUGGGGUAAAGGCUCACCAAGACAACGAUCUGUAGCUGGUCUGAGAGGACGACCGGCCACACGGGGACUGAGACACGGCCCAGACUCCUACGGGAGGCAGCAGUGGGGAAUUUUGGACAAUGGGCGCAAGCCUGAUCCAGCAAUGCCGCGUGCAGGAAGAAGGCCUUCGGGUUGUAAACUGCUUUUGUACGGAGCGAAACGGCUCUGGUUAAUACCCGGGGCUAAUGACGGUACCGUAAGAAUAAGCACCGGCUAACUACGUG
rnacentral:rRNA from 1 species